rnacentral:rRNA from 1 species
CAGUCGCCGCGGUAAUACGUAGGUGGCAAGCGUUGUCCGGAAUUAUUGGGCGUAAAGGGCUCGCAGGCGGUUUCUUAAGUCUGAUGAGAAAGCCCCCGGCUCAACCGGGGAGGGUCAUUGGAAACUGGGAAACUUGAGUGCAGAAGAGGAGAGUGGAAUUCCACGUGUAGCGGUGAAAUGCGUAGAGAUGUGGAGGAACACCAGUAGCGAAGGCGACUCUCUGGUCUGUAACUGACGCUGAGGAGCGAAAGCGUGGGGAGCGAACAGGAUUAGAUACCCCUGUAGUCCCUGUCUCUUAUAC